GGCUACUACAUCCAAGGAAGGCAGCAGGCGCGCAAAUUACCCAAUCCCGACGCGGGGAGGUAGUGACAAUAAAUACUGAUACAGGGCUCUUUUGGGUCUUGUAAUUGGAAUGAGUACAAUUUAAUUCCCUUAACGAGGAACAAUUGGAGGGCAAGUCUGGUGCCAGCAGCCGCGGUAAUUCCAGCUCCAAUAGCGUAUAUUAAAGUUGUUGCAGUUAAAAAGCUCGUAGUUGAACCUUGGGCCUGGCUGGCCGGUCCGCCUCACCGCGUGCACUGGUCCGGCCGGGUCUUUCCCUCUGGGGAGCCGCAUGCCCUUCACUGGGCGUGUCGGGGAACCAGGACAUUUACUUUGAAAAAAUUAGAGUGUUCAAAGCAGGCUUAUGCUCGAAUACAUUAGCAUGGAAUAAUAGAAUAGGACGCGUGGUUCUAUUUUGUUGGUUUCUAGGACCGCCGUAAUGAUUAAUAGGGACAGUCGGGGGCAUCAGU
rnacentral:rRNA from 2 species